rnacentral:lncRNA from 1 species
GGCAGCAGGGUUGGGCUCUCGCCGUGAGUCGACGAAGGGAGCGCGGGCGCGCGCCCGCGUCCGCGCACUGAGAGUCGCCUCGGCCGCUCGCUUUCUCGACUCCCGCCUCGCGCCUCGAUCCUGUUCCGCCUCCCUCGGCCCUCCUGCCCGCCCCCACUCGUCGGCCCUCAGGUAGGAGGCGGCGCGCCCCGGGGUCGGGAGUGGAAUCGCUGGAGGCUGCGAGUCGCCUGCCCGCCUGUGGGCGCGCCCGUUGGGAGGGGAGCGCCCCCCAGCGGGCGCGGGCGCGAGGGCAGCCGGCGCGCUGGGCGAGCCUGGCUCAGGGUCCCGGCGGCCGGGGUGCAGGGCGCGUGCGCGCGCGGCGGGGCGGGGCCUGCGCGGCUCUGGCGGGCGCACGUGGUGCCCGGGAGCUGCUGGGCGGGCACUCACCGCGGGGACUCGGUGCGGAGCCGGGGCGCCGAGUGUCUCCGUGUCCCUCUGCCCCAGCCGGCGGCCGCGAUGGUGGAGCUUGGCCUCUCGCUCUCUCCCGCCUCUCCAGCGACUGCUCUGCCGGCCGCGGAGGUCGGAUCGAGCGGUCAUUCAUUCAUUUGUUAAUUCGUUCACUUAUUCAGGGGAGAUCAUUGAACCCCUACGGAGUACCGGGUACUGGGCCGGGCGCUGAGGACGCGGGGCUGAGCAAAAGCAGCCGAGGCCCACCUUCGUGCCCCUUAAAACCCAGCGUGCGGGGCGGCAACGAGUACUGCUUUUCUGUUUUGCACUUAAAAUUUACAUUUUGCAUCCGUACUUUUUAUUUACUGUGCACCCUUACGGCAUGCUUUACGCACCCGUACCUGCACCUCCUAGCCUUGAGUGUAGACACCAGAUCCUGAGAUGGGCGAUUUUUCGAGAAUAAUUUUUACCCUAAGUGGAUUUUCGUGCCACGCAUGGACUUGGAACUACACACACGUAGUCCAAAACGUGAAAGUCAAAAUGCAGCUUUGCCAAGUGGCAGGGAGAAAGGAGAGCUGAGAAGAUGAGGAGAGGAAGGGCGCGCUCCAGGCUUUCCAGCCCGGGUGCGGUAGACGUAGCCCUGAAGGAUGAACCCAGGCUGGUAGUAGGGCGGCGGGAGGGCGGGGGGACCUGUCAGUCAAGUCCAAAGCAGAAACGCGGCGCCGGAUCCCAGUCAGAGGCCGGCUGGAACGCUUCCCACAGGCUCCUGGCGCUCCGGUCCCCACCAGGCGACCUUGAUCCUGGCGUGCUCAGCGGAGCCAGCGCAGCGUCGGGAGCUGGAGAGACGCGGGGCGCCGGCUGAGCGCUCCUGCCCUCUGCCUCUGGGCUAGCCUCUGGCCCGGCCUCCCGGCCUCCCCCAGGGUACGCUCUCCCCCAAGAGCGAACACCAGCUUUGGGAUCGCCAGCAGCCACGUCUCUGCUUCUAGAUCUCUUUUUUUUUUCUUUGAGACUUAGUUGAUAGCUGUUUAAGGAAUUAUGUGGAGGAAAUCUCACCUCCGACCCCCGCCCCCGUUGAGCACGGCCGGCCAGGGUCGCUGGGUGGGCCAGGAGGAAAGAAAGGGGCGGGGAAGAAGCAGCAAUUUUACUUUAAAUUAAAAUGACACAAAAAUAUUUUUUCAACUCAGAUCUUUCUGAGACAUCCCCAGAAAGCGUUGCAAGCUGUGAUUACACCUAAUGUGAGAGCAUGAACUAAUUUAAGAGGUGAGAGCUGCAUAAUGAGGCUGCCUCCCGUGUAGCAGCCAAGACUGGCAGCUCUGGCGGCGCGCUGGAGGGGACCGGGAGGGGCACCCUUGUAGAACCAGUCCCUGGCGCCCUGGGAUCUUCUCAGUGCCCUGGCGCUGUGUUGUCGGUCACUCCACAGAUAUUACAGGGUGCCUCCUGAAUGCCGGGUUGCAAUCAAGAGCAAGAGAUGGGGCGAGUGAAAGAGCCUGUUUUCAGGAGCUCAGCAUCAGGAUGACGAUUACCUAGAGGGAGGUGGUGGCCAGCCUCCCCCUCUUCUCUUCAUGCUGAGGCUCUGGUGGGCAGUGCCCAAGCCUGAACUGCCAUCUGUAUGCCAGUGGUUACCCAACUUGUAUUUUCAGUCUUAGCCUCUCUCUGGUCCAGACUUGUCAUUCUAAGGGCCCUUUUUCACUGACUCACAUUGUCUCCUCCCUCCCUGCCUUCCAAACUCAGCCUUUUCCUUUUUCCCUUUCCCACUGACAACAGCUGCACGACCCCCCCGCCCCCCCACGAGGUGAAAAUUCCCAAGAACCCCAUGUCUAACCUAACUCCCUCUCUAUGUCCUGUUGCUUGAGCCAUUCUCAUUAGGCUGCCUGUUCGGAGUUCAUUAUCUCCUAAUUUUUCAUCCAGGAAUUGAUGAAGAAUCACCUACUGCCUCUCCCACACACUGUUUAUUCUUUCAUUUGAUGAUAUCUGUUAAGUGCCCUGAGAUAUGUAACCUCCACUUCCCUCCCAUAUAAGUGAGAUUUCACGUUGAUUACUUCCUUGGCUUUCCUCAUCCCUUAUCCACAUAGCAUGUGUUCAAAAUAAUGAAUAUUAAUUUAAUGUUAAUAGAUAUGUGCUUUCCUGAAUUGUGAGGAUUAAAUGAAAUCAUGUAUAUAGGGAGGAAAAUCCAUUAGAAACCUCAAAAGCAGUUAUGUUUAUUUUUGCUAUUGUCACAUUGUUAGAGUCAGAAUUCUUUUAGCUGCAAGUGACAAAACCAACUCAAACUGGCUUAAGGACUUUAUUGGUUGAUGCAAAAAGCCUCGGGUUAGGUCUUGCCAUUUAAGGUAGGGCUGGAUCCAUCAAUCCGGGUUACCAGGAUCUGUUUUCUAGUUGUGGCUUCAUUUUCAGACAAGUUGUUUCCAUAUGAUAGCCUCAUAGAAGGUACUACCAGCUUAGUCCUAGCAAGAAAAAAGAGUACUUACUCUUCAAUAUUUGCAGCAGAAGUCCCAGGUCUGUUCUUAUGAGGGCAGUUUGAGUCACUUGCUCUUCUCUGAACGUGGAGAAGGCACUGUUUAGAUGAUGGAGGUUGGAUUCAGGUGCAUCCCCUGGAAUGGGGUUUGGCAUUAGCUUCACGUGGUCUAGAAUAAAGGGGUUCUCCAAAGGAAAAUUAGGGUAGGAAUGCUGAGUAAGCAGAACAAACAGAUGUCUACUUUAGUCCUUCCCAAAGGGUGAGCUGCAAUACAUUGCAGACUAUCAGAAUGGUGAUGAACACGGAUGCAGUAGCCAAGAAAAUAGAUGUGUGUUUGUCGUGGUCUUUUUCAGUCUUCAAGAUCUCAGUUAAACAUGAAGUCAACCACUCACUAUGAUGUUAUUUGAGGUUUAGCUUUGAAGUGGAAAUGUACCACAAAUAGUAGAGCCAGAUAAAUACAAAUAAAUAAUUUUAACAGUCCAUUCUAAAAGAUUUCUUUGGUAAUAUUCUGUUGGAAUUGAUUUCUAUCUUUUCAUUUGUUAGGUUCCUGGAAAGUGAAAAUUUCAUUUCUUUGUGGACAGGUACCUAAAAUGUCUCAUUAUUCAUCAAUUAAUGAAAAACAAAUGAAAAUUUGAGAGAGAUAUUCUGAAGAAUAAAAGGAUCAAGUUGGGUCAUUUCUAAAAUGUAAGAUUAUAAGGUUUAACUUGCUAAGACUUUUGAGGGGUUGAAUUAUUGGUAAAUUAUUAUAGAACCACUUAUCUGAGGCUUUUAAAAGUGAUGUGUUACAGAGAUUUAGGGAACUGCAAGAUUGCAGAUAAAGAAUUUAUACUGUCAACUGUUCUAUACUUUACCUUCUGCUUUAAAUGCGGCCUUAUAUUUUGAAGUCAAACAUUUAUUUUCUCUCACUGCGUUCUGAAUUUCCUACCACAGUGCAUUUUGAGAAAUGAAUAUAACAGCAGUCUUCAUAGAUGCCAUAUUCAUGGCAACUCUGUCCCCCGCCAACACCACACCCUGGAAAAAAACCAACUUUCUAUUGUUGGAAUGAGGUAACAUUUUCAGGAAAAGGGAACCAUUUUCUCACAGGAUAUAGAACAAAUUCAACCUUUUAUUAAAUCAAAAUGGAUUCUCUAAUGUUUAUACAUAUCAUAUAGGAUUUCAUCUCUUUCAAUCUUGGUUCAAAGGCCCAGACAGUACCAUUCCCUAGUAUUUAGUCCAUUUGCUCAUAAAGCAGAAGAGAAAAGCUACUUUGUUCCGAAGGGUGUUAGAUUUAGGAUUCCAAGGUUAUUUCAAAUUAAUGCCUGGAACUAGACUAUAAAAUGCAGGAAAGAUUCUAAGUUGUUCAAAGAUGAAAUAUCUUAACUUUCACCAAAAACUCUGUCUUCUGGGUAUUUUUUGUUUUUCUGCCUUUCCAGAUUUAUUUUAAAUACAACAUUUUUGCUGUUUACAUUUUUAAAAGUUACAUUUCAAAAUUGUUCAUAAUUGGACACUUUCAUAAAAUGUAGGCAAAUGCAGUUUUACUUUUUAAUGAAGGACAAGUCUGUUGAUAACAUUUUGAUUCUUAAAAUUUUUUUUAUCUUAUAAAAAUGAAACAAUGCAUUUAAAGUGUCUUCAGCUCUUAUGUUAAUACCAAAUUAUACAUUUUCUUAGCCCAUGUUCAGGAGAGACAAUAUAUCUUCCAAAUUAAGAGAAGCUGGCACCAUUUUUAAAACAAGGCCUUGAAUCUGCUGUGGUAUGUGCUGGUAGGAAUUUUGUAUGAAGCUGUUAUUGAAGUAGAUGACAUUAAGGUCAAAGGAAAAAAAAAACAGAAAAUAAUGUAAUCCUACAGAGCUGCUCUUAAGAUCUUGAGAGAAAAACCACGUAGGUAACAUCAAACACUAGUUGGAAUCUUUCCAAGAAGUAAUUAUCUGUGUGCUGUUUGUGGUGGUUGAUUAUGGGAACAAACCAAGGUUUAGCCAAUUCAGCAAACAUUUAUGGAGUGCCUGCAAUGUGCAUGUCACUGUUUUAAGGCCUGUGCCUACUGUAAAGGUGACCCACACAUGAUGCCUGCCUUGCAGGACUUGGAGUUCAGCGAUAAUAAGAGAUGCAUACCUGAAAAGCCUAUUUAAGACUCUUCCGGUUCUACAAAGAAGGCUUCUUGAAAGUGGUAGCUUUGAUUACUCUUUGGAUUUAUUUACAUUUAUCCUAUAAUCAGAAGGUAUACAAAACAGACUCACACAUAUAUAAAAUUAAUAGAUUAGAUAGCAUUUAAACAAAUAUUUCAGGUAGGUACUUCAAAUGCAUUUGACAUUUAUCAAAGAAAUGGUAAGUGCUGUCAUCCGUGGGUGGCUGGAUUAACAUGUGGGACUACUUAUCACCAAUUUUGUUAGGGAUCUUAGGGAAAUUCCUGGAUCUUAUAUUCACAAGCAAUUGUAUAAAUACUUCCCACAGCUCAGAGACCUAAUAGGAUGGGGUCUUAGAGAAACAUCUUUUGAGCCACAGACUUCUUUGUUACCAGAAGGAAAAUGAAAGAAGAAAUUUAAAUACCACUUGAAGAGAGGUAAAUAAAUGAGAAAUGGGGCUGAGAGGGCGGGUAUUUUUUUAAAAAUUCAUUAAAUGGAAAAAUCCACAAAUGUUAAUUCUGGUAGAUUUCUUAGAAAUUACAUCAGAGGAGCAUGCUUGGUCUUCCCACCCUCAUUAGGCCUCAGUGACAGGUACUUGAACAACUGAGCCCCUAAUGUGCAUGCUCCCCCACCCCUGAAGCCAGUCUCUGCCCUCCUCUUCCCUCCUCUUGCCCCUGGAAGCUGAUCGCCACCAACUGGCCUCUGGGUGGAUUUGGCCAAUGGAAGCACCUGUAGAGGGAAGAGAGUGAGGUUAGGAUAUUUCUUCCUGCUGUCUCCGUGCUUCCCUGCAGAGAGUGUGAAGAAAUGACCCUGAAAAGCCUCUGGCAGAGGAUUCUUCUUUCAGGAUGGUGUCGCCUCCUCAGCAGCCCAUCCUCCUCCCCUGGACUCAAGCUCUCAUUCCAGUAACACUCCUUCCUCCUUCUCCAUCUUCAGGGGGAGGUUUGCCAGUCGGUGGGUUCUAAGCAUAUCUCGCUGAUUCCCCCCAACCCUGCCGACACCUCUGUAGGUCGUCCCUUCAUUAAAAUCUCUCCAUUUGAACUAUCUGAGUUUAAUUCCAUUUCCUCCUGGUAUCUCAGUGAUACACGGUAUCAGUACAAAAAUCUCGCUUCACCUUCAGAACCAACAGAUUUGAGACAUUUUAUCCUCUGUGGAACCAUUAGUUAUUUUGUCAUUGGUUGUAUCAGAAAAAAAAAUCAGGAAUGCAAAUCCUUCUUUAUUACAGAUUCAGAUUUGCAUAUUACCAAUGUUAUAUAUUUUAAACAAAACUAUUCAUCAUAAGUUUUAAAAAUUAACUACUGGAGUAGUUAAUGAAUCUGAAUGUAAUUAUGUAGCUUUCAUAAUAUUAAAGUAAAAAUACUAAAAGAAGUAUUUCUUAAAGAAGCAAAUGCUCAAUCUCCAAGUAAAUUUUAUUCUAUGCUCUUCCGGUAUAAGAAUAUGUUAAUAUCUUGAAAAAUAUCAUAUUAUUUUGUGAACUCAUAAAGCUAUUUUGAGUUUUUGUAAAAUGAAAACCUUACCAAAAUGUAUUUUAUUGUUGGAAAGCUUGACCGUUACUGCUGUUUAAUUUUUUGAGCUUGUAAACUUUAUUUGUGCAUGUUUUCAACAAAGAAGGAUUUUAUUGUUAUUACAUAAAACAGGUGAUUUCUAGAUUUUAAAAUCACAAAUUGAAAGCAAGGCACAAUAAUAUAUAUUUCAAGAUAUAGGUACUUAGGAGGCAUCCUUUUAGUCAUCUGUUCAAUGUAGCCAUCUAUUUUACACCUACUGUCUACUAUUGUUUGAGGUCCUUGCCAAAGUAUUGCAGGCUAGUUAGGAAACAUAAAACAAUUAGAAAGUAAUCUAUGACAAGUAAGCUAUCUAUAAAUGGCAAUGAAGGGUAGAACAAAUUCAAUGAAAAUAUCUAUUUAAUCCUAGUGUUUACUGGUCUAGAAGAAUAGGCUGAGUAAAUUAGUAUUUCUCUGGCUGUUGUGGUAACACAUUGCAUGCUAUAACAGUUUUAAGUAAUUACAGGUGCAUUGAAAUUUAUCUAUGGCUUUGUCAUCAUAUUCUAAAAUGUCAUGAGUACUUUUUUCUGACCUCAAUUACUAUGAAAUUGGUUUCCAAUAUUUAAUUAACCAAGAAUAUCAAGUCUAUAGGGUAUUAUUAAGGUGAGACUUCUGUAGCCUUUUCAAUAAAGACCAGAAUUUUGGAGUGCCUUGAACCUUAAUCAUUGAUCUUUAAUUCUUAUUAAGUCAACUGCCCACCUUUUAAAGACUGAGGCCCAGGAAGAGUAAGUUUCUCUGAGACAAUGCAUACAGUACAGUGCUUCUUGGGUAUUGGCUCUAAGACCAGAUGCAAAGAAAGGCUAAAAUCCCAUUUCAUUGUUCAUUAGGUGAGAACCCUUUGUUAAGCUGUGUAACCUCUGUGCAUAGUUUCCUCAUCAGCAAAGUCAGAAAAAGUAUGUACCUGAAGGACUGAUUGUAAGGCUGGGAUGAGAGAAUCCAUGUGAUCAGCCCUCACCAACAGGUGCUGCCCAGUUCAUGAGUGCUGCUGCUGUCCUGCCCAAGUACCCAGCUUGCAGAGUGCCAGAGUUAGAGUCCCAGGGGUGUUCUCCACAGCUGCAUGCUUGAUCCAGGCCUAUCAGGUGAGUUGGCUCUUGGCUAGUGGUUUUUCUUCUCUUGCUGUACAAAAGUCCAGACAGUAAUGUCUUUUUUUCAUUUUUAUAGAUAUAUUCCAUUGAAAGUCCUCAUUCUCAAAUUUAAAACAAAGACUUUUUGUGUACCUCAAUAGCAAUGCACACACAGUUGGCUUCACAAACAUAUUGUACAUUUCUUUUUUUCAUAUUUAUUCAACAAAUGUAUAUUGACUACCCACCGUGUGACAGGUGUUAUUUGUUGACGGAACCAGGCAUCAUCAGCAAACAAAACUGACAAAGCUUCCUGCCCUCUGUGGAAGGCAUCUGAGGAAGAGACUGGAUUUUGUAGCAACAUGUUAUUCUCAUUAUAAACUUUAUCAUUGGAAUACUAAAGCCAAAUCAUCCCCCAUCUCCUUGAUCAGGAUACCCACUUAAUCUAGGCAGCUACACAAUUGUGAGAGCCUUUGUUUUUUUCUGCUGAAACAUCCUUAAAAAGAUACCUCACAACCCAAGAUUUGGCUUUUCUUAAAUACGAUUUUUAAUUUUUUUCAUUUCUAUCUAGAGAUUUAAUUGGAAAUGGAAAAUCAUCAAUUUUCCAAUUAAAUGUCUGUUCCAAUCAACAUUAUACCUUUUAGGUUGUCAUUGUCAUUUUUAAGUUUAAGCAACUUUAAGGAUUUUGAAUCUGGCUGCCUGUAAAUUAAAGGUGAAAGUAAUCAUUGUGUUGGAUUGGAACAUUUUGUCAAUUGAGAGUGGUUUCCUUGUUCUUAGUGUAUGAAAAGUUUAUUUUUCUAAUGUAGAUUAAUAAAGGAGAUAAAGAAAAACAAAAUGAGUGAUUUAUGUGUGUGAGAAAAGAACCAUUUCCUCAAGGAUUAAAUAAAAUUCAUACCUUUUGUUUCUUUUGAAAAGUUUUUAAAAUAAAUUUUAAUGAAUGUGUCCUUUAAAUAUUCCUUUAAAAAUGUAUCCUAUUUUAAAAUGGACUCUCUGAGAGAAGGAAUUGAUACCUGUGUUUAAAAUCAAAAAUAGCAUGCAUAGAGACUGUUUUUCUAGUUGGUUGAAGCUUUUUUCCCUCUCCUUUACAUCAGUGAACCAGCAUCUUGCCCUUCAGACCCUACAGCACACUCUUGGGCUCAUGAAGUGUAUGACACAUCCUCCUUGGGGGAUCGGCCAUGUCCUCGCUCUCAUGACCACAUGAAUUCUUCUGUAUGUCUUUUCUCACAGCUGAGUACUCUCUUCCUGACCCCCUUGUGGAAUGGGGAAAGGAGGCUGUGACAUUGUGCUUGUGCAAACAAUAAUUGAGAGCUUUCCGAGUCUCCUGCAUCUUCAUAAAUGAUUUUUUGUUUUAUGCUGGGACAGUAGUUCUUUAAAUAGAAUAUUCUCCCAUGGAAAUCGCCCACAAUGCUGAGAGUACACCUUGCAAAAGGUAAGUCUAGAAUAUAGGGUGCCUCCUCAGCAUUGCCCAGAAGCUGAAGUUAGGACUCUCUAGAAUACCAAAAACAAAUUUAUAGCAGUUCAUUAAUGUAAGGAAUUAUGAAAACUGUGUGCCACCAUUAUCCAUAGAUGAAACAAGAGCCACCACGCAAGCACAGACACAAAGCCCUGAAGAUGAAGCCAUUGACAGGGCUCUCAUUUAUUCUGUAGAAACCCACUUGCCUGUUUUUGAACCAGUUUUCUUUGGAGCAUAUGUCUCACUGUGCAACCAAAGUGGUGUUUAUAUCCUAGUCACUUGGCAAAAAUUCUGUCAUUGCUUCAGGGAGAUCCAUUUUAGGCCUGAAGCAUGGAGCUGGUAAUAGAUGGGAUUUGGUACUUCUGAAGAAAAGACCCUACUGCAAAUUUAGAGAGUUAAUUUUUUCUUUUGUUCCCCAUAAUAUUGUUGCUAGAUAGAACUACCUUUUUUGACUAGAAGUUAAAUAUAGAGGCCUAAAUCAAUUAGGUAACUCCCACUCAUUCUAAAUGAGAACAUGUUUGUUUUUCUCCAACGAGAUGAGAAAUAUUUGAGGCGCUUCCUGAUAUCUCUAUCACCCACUGCAUUUUUUCACUUGAUGUAUAUUUCCCCAUGUAUUUGGGAUAAUUUUCAAAUAAUUGCCCUUUAGAAAUCUACUUGAUAUUAAAUGUAAAAAAAAAGCAAGAUGCAAAAUUAUUAUAGGAUGCAUUUACAGAAAUUACAAAAUUUCUAUAAACUAUUUAUGGAGGAAGACUUAUAGAGUAUAUGUCAACACAUUGCUUUAUUAUUGUCCUUGGUUAUGAGUAUGGUUUUUUUGAAACCUGCUUUGUACUUUGGGUGUUUUCUCACCAUUGGUACAAUUGAGGCAUUUUUCCCUCUUCUUCAACCUUGCAAAUCACACGUGAGGAUGCUCAUAGAAGUGCCUCUCAGACAGGCUGUUGUUUUGCUUUCACCAAUAAAUCAUUUAUAAUUAGAAGUAGAAAACUAUUCUUUCCAGUGCAAAUACAUCCCUUUCAAAAGCAGUUCUCUUUUUGUGAAUGAUGUCUAGUGUCUAAGAAACGAGGGUAACCUUUAUUAUAUGCAUUGCUCUAAUCGAAGCAUUGUUUUUUGCGGUGAACUCAAGGUUACAUGUUUAAGAAAAGCAUCGGGUUAAUUCCAUUAGGAAAAGUGUCUUAUUCAUAAACCUUUAGCCACUGGAAAAACACCAUUAGGAGGCCACACAAGUGUGUAUAGCUGGAUAGAAUUUGACAACUGGCAAAACAAAACAAUAGCCUACAAUUGCAGAGUGCUGUCUGUUUAAAAACCAACAUAUCUUUCACCAACAAAUACAUAUUCACCUCAACACGAGACUUUCAUGUGGUUAUUAAUAUCAAAUUUUUGAAUGUCCAAAUUUUGGAGUGUAGUCUAGCAGAGGUAAACUGAUUUGCCUAAGGUCCUUCAACUGUCAGAGGUAGAAUUAUUUUCUCUCUCCUGGCUCUAAAACCUGUCCAGAUUCUCCUGCAACACUGUCCUUCAAAAACACACUUCCGCUGACUCCAGUGCUGGUGAUGUCAUGCUUUAGCUAGUAGUUAGAGGUGACUUAACUUUAAAUAUGGAAUCUUUUUUUCCUAUUAAGCAAUGAGGUUUAGUUUGAAAAUUCUUAGAGAUGAUAAACCCCUCUCCUUUUUUUCUUCCUUCUCCUCUUUUGUCCUGAACAAUGUUCCAUAUAUAUUACUGCCAGAAACAGAUUCUUGACAUUCCUGUUAUGCUUUUCCACAUCUUGUAAUCAUUUCUACAGCUGUUAGCAUUGCCAACAAUUAUAUUUCCACUUUUAAAAAAUUGUUACAAAGAUGCAGAGAGAAAAGAGGAAAGCCAAGGAAUAAACUACAGGCAAUUAUGGGAUAUUUUUGUGAUGUGACAUUUUGGGAACUGAGGCAGCAUCACUGAUACUGCACUACUUUUUAAUAUCUAGAUUUUAAUCUUUUGUAUGAAGAUAAAAUUCACAUGCCUUAAACCUGACCACAACAUAAUAGGGCAUUUAUUUUUCUAAUUUUGAUACCAUCCACAUUUCUUAACUAUAAGAAGAAUGCUUAUGUUGUACCAGGUUAUAUGAUGUUGCCAAGAAGUAGAUGUGUACCAUUUACUAAUACAUCCUUUUGGAAAAUGCGUAUUAAUAACAUAUUAAGGAGUAAAUUGACGUUGUGCAAAGUGAGCCUGUGAGUUUAAAUGUAUGGAUUGUACACCUUGCUCUUCCUAAUUGCAGAUUUAACAGGAUUUGAUGACCUAAUGAGUUUAUUUCUGAAUGAUUUAUAUUUCUUUGUCAGUUCAAUGAUUUAGUAUUUUAAAUUUUUUUAAAUCACAUUUUAUUGAGAUAAUGCUAUUAGUGUUUCUUUCCCAUCACUUAACAAAGUUAAGUCACUCCUCUCCCACCCCACUUUUGUACCUACCAAUGUUUUUUUCACAGUUACAGGCUGAUUGGCUUGACGUGUCUUAGGAUACCACCCAAAGAGAGCUUCAUUUUAUAAAUACCAAGCUCAUUUUCCUAAAUAUUUUCAAAAAGAUAGAUUUAUCCUCAUAUAGUAAAUUCAGAUUAAUAAUUUUGGAAAGGGUCAUGUGACCAUGGUAUUACAUGGCUGUGGAAGACCCUCCAAGAUCUUGUUUUGGGAUAGAAGGACUCAGACAUCCAAACUUUUAAAUUAAUGAACUUAUUAAAUUCUAAAACUUUGUAACAGUGUUAAUUUGAGAAGUAUAAUAUUUUGCUUAAGGUCUGUUUUGCUUUGCAAAAUGCAUCUCCUUCAUUUUCAUAUUAUGUUGGAAGCUUAGCAUGAAAGAACGUGCCUCAGAGGAAACCAUAGGUAAGCAUACUUUAACAAAAGUUAGUGUCAUCAUGUUUGUGUCUUUGCCUGUGGUUUUUUAAAUGUAUAAUGUUUAACGUUGAUUUGGCUAUCAAAUUACAUUUUCUUUUGUUAAAAAAUUCUGUAAAUUAGAAAUGUACUGAAUCAUUUAUUUAGCAGACUGAAGGUGGGUAAUGUUGGCUGAACAGGUUUAAGCCACAGUAAUUUGAAAAUGUAAAUACAUAAAAUAAUGUCAUUUCUCUUCCACUCAAUGUUUCUUCACCAAAUAAAGUCCAGCCUGCUCUGAAUUUGUUGCCAGUAGGAACAAUGUUACAGUGAAUCAUGGUUUAAUAUACCUUGAAAAUGGCACAUCUGUUCUGUGAUAGCUUACCAAUUUUAGCCUCUUUAUAAAAUACGAAGAGUUUGUCAACCAGAAUAAUCUAGAACCUGGCAAUUCAAAUACCAUUCAAAGCAAAUGUUUUAUCUAAUAACUGGAACUAAAUGUUAGGCCUCAUGACAGUUCAAUAUUUACUAAAUAAGUUUAAUAACAGGGUAAGCCCUCAGUAUCCAGAGCAGAGACAAGCACACCAUAUUUACACAUACAAAUUCUGCCUUUAGCCAUCUGAAAGGGCCCCGAACUAUUGCAGCAAGCAAAGAGUCUUUGCAUUGUCCUAAAAUCCAUACAAUACUUUAUAUUUUACACAUUUUAAUAGCUAGUUUAACAAAUAACAAGUACCAUGCUUAAUUCUCUGCAUGCAUUAUUUCAACUAAUUAUUGGAAUAAUCUUAUAAAGUGGGUACUUUCGUCUCAGCUUACAGGUGAGAAAACAAAAGUUAAAUAGAUCGCCCAGGGCUCUGCUGGAACGUGUUAAGCAGGGAUUUCAGCCUGUCCAGUCAGACCCCAGAAGUUGUGUUCUUAACCAUUAGCAACACAUCAUCCCAGGCAGGCCCUACAUGAGCCUCAUAACCAAUUUUAUGCUGGAUAGUAUUAUCCCUAUUUCACAGAUGGCAAAACUGAGGUCCAGAGACUUUAAGUGACCUACCCAAAAUUACAGUCAUGAGCAGAGGCACUGGAAUGUAGGGCCUUGACACUCUACCUCACGUGGUCCUCUUUCCUGUUUUGGGUAGUUCUCCACUACCACUACUCAUUUCUGAUGCUGGAAAGGCUGUGUUUUAUACAUUUCUGUUUCUGGCUUGGAACGAAACACUCUGGGUCUCUGCUUGAUCAGUGUCCCCUCUAAACUGCACCUCACUACAGUAGGGAUGGCAUAAGAUACUUCUUUACACAGCAUCUUUUUGUUCCCACCUCACCCCCAGAGCUGUAAUAGGUAGAGCCAGCCAAAUGUCAAAGGGAUGAUUUGUCUUGUCACCACUAGUUUCCCUUUUCUCUGCCUUGUAUGUAACAGGAAUAUUCUUUAGUUCCUCCUUAUGUUCUAAAGCACCUCCCCAACCUAAAAAUAGAAGAGGAGUUGUGGGUCAUUUACACUUUAGUGUGAAUUUGCCCUUGUGACUUUGCCAAGGCUGUUGUGCCUAACCCUUUCAAUCUAACAGCAGAAUGAGAGUCUCUGGACUAUCCUGGCUCCUUCCCUGAGAAGAAUGAACUGGGAAUUGUUGGUCUAGACAUCAAGACUACCAGAGACCUAUUGCUCAGAGAUGUUUGGGCUGUACAAUUUCUGUAGAUAUGGCAUCUGGAGCAGCCUUUUCUAAGCAAUGGCAUUAUCAUUCCAGGCUCUCUCGCUCUUUCCAUCUCUCCACCAGGUGGACUCUUGCCCUCCACCCCUUCCAAUUUGUCAGUGAUUCAGAGAACAUUCUCCAUCCUUCCAAUGAUUACAUUCCUUCAUCUUGCUGGGGCGCCAAUUCAGUGAUGGAGCGGCUCUUGGGAGCAGCCUUGGCUUAUAGUGCAGCUCUCUGCUACCUUCAACAGGCUGGUAUUCGGGGUGCUUAGAUGUGACUGGUUGUACGCACGUGUGUGUAUGUGCAUGUGUGUACAGCAGUAAGAGCUUUCGAGGUAGAUACUUGAGGAAGCCUCAGACAUCUAGCCCCAUUACUGGGGCAAUGUCUUACUUGGGUUUUUCCAGAAACAGACCUGGAGACCAGGAUUCAAGUGCCAGUGGUAUAUUUGGGAUGUGAACCCUGCAAUGCUGGUAGGAGAGUGGAGAAGUGAGGCAAGGAAAGGAAGGCCGUCAAGGGGCGUGUUAGGAGGUCAUUCACCACCGCAGGUAGCCCGCUGGGGACCUCUGGGAGCAAGUGUGGCGCACAAGCCUCAGCAUUACUGCCCUGUGCCUUGAGGAGUAAGGGAUAAGGAUUUUCCCCACCAGUUCCCUGUAGUCCUUGGUGAGAGCUUCUGGGGUGGAGGUUAAGGUCUUUAGGUCAGAGAAAUUUUCUUUAGUUUCGGAAAAAUCUUUCAGGCCGAGGUCCAGACACUCACUGGAACACACUGAAGUGGUUAGGUCCAAGGGCUGUAGGCAGAGCUCCCAUAUCCAUCUGCAGAGGUGUUUCAGGUGGAAGGAGUGGAGACAGCCUUCUCUGCUCCACACUGUCUUCAGCAAGGGUUUCUGUAUCUGUGCAUUGAGGAUUAAAUUAUUCACAUGGUCAGAGAAGCCCAUCACCACUGAUAGUUAUUGUAGGUAUGGAAAACUAACGACUAAGAAGGGAGAAAAAUAUACCAAGCAGUUGGCUUGGCUGAACACAAGUAAAGACUCUUACAGUCACUGGUGUGAACUGCUUAUUAUCAAUGUCUGAUUACAGUGCUGCAUACUAAUGAUUAUGCAUGUCAUUAAAUGUGUCAGAUUAACUUUGUUAUAAAAUUUAUGACAACAUUAAAUUUUAUUCACAUGCUCAGCCUUCAUAAUUUAUUGCUUAUGUAGCAUGGUUUUAACUUCAGAAAAACCUCCAAGACAGUGUUGUCUUGAUGACUACACUGCUUAUCCGUGAGUCUAGUUUUCCUGUUCAUUUGAAAUGUUCACAUUACAUUCAGCUCUGUCUCAAGCACUGAGACAGAGCUGGAAUCAGUGCCCAGCGAUUCCACUUGCCGAGUGAUUGAGGCUGGGGGAUUACUCCCCUCUCUUUGUGAAUUCUCUUGCUGUGUGUUAUUGAUUAAUUCAACCAACUCUUAGUUGACCCUAACCAUGCAACAUGUAUUGUGCCAGGUGGUGUGGAUUUAGAAUAUGGAUUAGACCCUCAUUCUGUCCUCAAGGAGUUCCUGGUCUAGUAGAGAAUCACAUCACUUUAUAGUUGAUUGUUCAAGAAGGAAGCUUGUUCAAACAUGAAUAAAAGACUGUGCAUCUUCUGACUUUGUAGGUGUGGAAUAACAAAGAUCUGUUCCUUUAUUGGGUUUCCAGAAAACAUCUCCAAAGCUAUACCAGUCAUCAUUUUGUGCUUUCAGAAAUGAGUAACAUUGUAGGAUAGUACUUAUUGCUUGUACUUAGCUUUGUGUGCUAGCUGAGCAUUUGUAAAUAGAAGGCAUUCACGGGUAAAAUGUGUUUCCUUUAGCCAAAUGCACAAUGGUAGUGCCUUUCUAGAAUCCAAGCUAAAGAUGUCGUCACAUGCCACAUCCACACACUUCUUAGCAAAAAUCCAACUAGAAGAACUUUGCUAUUUACAACAAAGGCAAAUGCUGUCAAGAAGUAGGCUUAGUACCACAGGAAGCGGAGCCAAAUGUGUUCUUGAAAUUUAUAAGUUGACCUGAAAAUAAUGUUUUGGGAAGCCAUGGCUUGCCGUUGUCAGCUGUCAAAAUUGAGCUUGGCAGGAGAAAUCAGGGUCAGGAACAGAAUAGAGAUAGUCAAAAAGAGACAGAACAGAGAGAGGGCUACUGUUGUUUCUGGAGUCCAGUGACCACCCGGGUUCUAGUGUGGUACUGGCAGUGGACUAAAUAAGUGGAUCCACCCUAAGGUGGAGAGAAGGUUCAUAUGGAGAUAAUUUAAAGAGCUGACUUUUAGCCCUUCCAAAGAAUUACAUGUUCCUAACUGCCAACCUAGGAACAUCCUGGAUUAACUUGCAAUUUAAGGCUGUGGUAUACCUGUUUCAAAUAAAAUAGCCCUGUGAAUAGCAUGGAAGUCAAAUGAUAUCAACUAGGUUUGAAACAACCUCCUUCUCUCUUUUGAAUGGAGCAGUGAUUAAACGCAAGACAUCAGCUUAGAAAAUGCAUGUAUUAGCAAACGCCUAAGAUGAGGAAAGAUCUGGGCAUGCCCUGAAGCCAAUGCAAUUUUUCUUUCUCCACCCCAAACCUGUGCUACGUGAUGAAUUUACAGUAUUAAAAACAUUGCUGCCGCCUACUUCUUCCAGCUGGGACUUCAGGACCAUCUUUGAAUCCUCCUCGGCUCUCCACACCCAGCAGUGCAGCAACUCCUCAUCUCUCUCUCUCUUUCUCUCUUUUUUUUUUUUUUAUUUUUUUUGAG